rnacentral:rRNA from 1 species
UGGAUCUUUGGCAAAUCCGGGAUCCUUUAAGACCGAGCACCGAGACGAGCCUUUAUGGCGAAGUCACUGAUACCACGCUUCCAGGAAAAGCUCCUAAGCUUCAGCUCACGAAGACCGUACCGUAAACCGACACAGGUGGGUAGGAUGAGAAUUCUCAGGCGCUUGAGAGAACUCGGGUGAAGGAACUAGGCAACAUGGCACCGUAACUUCGGGAGAAGGUGCACCCUUUUUG